rnacentral:misc_RNA from 1 species
GAAAUGCGAUAAGUAAUGUGAAUUGCAGAAUUCAGUGAAUCAUCGAAUCUUUGAACGCACAUUGCGCCCAUUAGUAUUCUAAUUGGCAUGCCUGUUCGAGCGUCAUUUCAACCCUCAAGCCUUAGUUGCUUGGUGUUGGGAGCUUAUCCUGCCGCAAGGCGGGACAACUCCUUAAAUUUAUUGGCGGAGUCGCGGUGACCCCAAGCGCAGUAAUUCCUUUUCUCGCUUUAGGUGUUAACGCUGGCUUCUAGCCAUUAAACCCCCUAAUUUUCUAAUGGUUGACCUCGGAUCAGGUAGGACUACCCGCUGAACUUAAGC